rnacentral:rRNA from 1 species
UACGUAGGGGGCAAGCGUUGUCCGGAUUUAUUGGGCGUAAAGAGCGUGUAGGCGGUUUGGUAGGUCCGCUGUGAAAACUCGAGCUCAACCUCGAGACGCCGGUGGAAACCAUCAGACUAGAGUCCGGAAGAGGAGAGUGGAAGUUCCUGGUGUAGCGGUGAAAUGCGCAGAUAUCAGGAAGAACACCCGUGGCUAAGGCGGCUCUCUAGUACGGUACUGACGCUGAGACGCGAAAGCGUGGGGAGCGAACAGG